rnacentral:tRNA from 1 species
GUUUUAAUAACUUAAGUUUAAAGUGUAGUAUUGAAGAUACUGCGAUGAUUAANUAUAAUCUUAAAACA